UACGGGGGGGGCAAGCGUUGUUCGGAAUUACUGGGCGUAAAGGGCUCGUAGGCGGCCAACUAAGUCGGAUGUGAAAUCCCCAGGCUCAACCUGGGAACUGCAUCCGAUACUGGAUGGCUUGAAUCCGGGAGAGGGAUGCAGAAUUCCAGGUGUAGCGGUGAAAUGCGUAGAGAUCAUGAGGAAGACCAGUGGCAAGGCGGGUCUCUGGACAGUUCCUGACACUGAGACACGAAGGCCAGGGGAGCAAACGGG
rnacentral:rRNA from 1 species